rnacentral:rRNA from 1 species
UACAGAGGUCUCGAGCGUUAGGCGGAAUCACUGGGCUUAAAGCGUGUGUAGGCGGAUCGGUGAGUACCUUGUGAAAUCCCACAGCUUAACUGUGGAACUGCUUGGUAUACUGCCAGUCUUGAGCCACUUAGGGGCUACCGGAACAAAUGGUGGAGCGGUGAAAUGCGUAGAUAUCAUUUGGAACGCCAAUGGUGAAAACAGGUAGCUGGGAGUGUGCUGACGCUGAGACACGAAAGCCAGGGGAGCAAACGGG